CCCGCCAAGCCUCCUAACAAUGCUUAAAUCGGUGGGU
rnacentral:sRNA from 1 species